AUUGAACGCUGGCGGCAGGCCUAACACAUGCAAGUCGAACGAGUGGCGGACGGGUGAGUAAUGUCUGGGAAACUGCCUGAUGGAGGGGGAUAACUACUGGAAACGGUAGCUAAUACCGCAUACCAUCGGAUGUGCCCAGAUGGGAUUAGCUAGUAGGUGGGGUAAAGGCUCACCUAGGCGACGAUCCCUAGCUGGUCUGAGAGGAUGACCAGCCACCCUGGAACUGAUACACGGUCCAGACUCCUACGGGGGGGAGCAGGGGGGAAUAUUGCACAAUGGGGGCAAGCCUGAUGCAGCCCUGCCGGGUGUAUGAAAAAGGCCUUCGGGUUUUAAAGUACUUUCAGCGGGGAGGCGUUACCCGCAGAAGAAGCACCGGCUAACUCCGUGCCAGCAGCCGCGGUAAUUC
rnacentral:rRNA from 1 species